UGUGUGUUUAUGUGGUGUUGAGAUAAGCCAAAGAUAGAUAAGGAUGUAUGAGCUGUCUUUGCCUUCACUGGGGAGCCUACUACGUGCUACAGUGUCUGCAGUGCUGCAAGAUUCACUGUGGUACUACAAUAGUUGAGCCUCAUCUAUGAUGUGCUGUGUUCAAGGCACCUGUAGACCAGGUGCAUCUCCCAGGUUAUGCCAUUACAACCAUAGCCAGGUAUAUAGUUCACACAUAUGGCACUGUAUCCACUGGACAUCUGAGGUUCUAUCAGGCCACUAG
rnacentral:lncRNA from 1 species